UAGACUCAUCCUCCUAAGCUGUUGUCUUCUUUGUGAGGUCAAAGACCAGGUGGAUGAAAAUAAAGAUUGGUGUUUAUCUCUGGGAGGAUCAGAGCCGAUUCAGUCUCAUUAAAGCUGCUGCAGGCUCACCUGUGUGGCUUUGCUGGUGCCUUAGGGGAAAGCUCAGCAGGGGCUCACUUCUUCAUGAUAGAGAAGAAAGCCGUGGAUGAGCCAGCAUAUUUAAUUGGUAUAAAGGGAAAUCCCUUUUCUUUUAUAUGGGUGGCUAAGGGAGCUGACUGGAAGGAGAACUUCUCCCCCUUAGAAUGAGUUACCUUAAAUACUAUUCUCCAUACCUUUCCCGAUUUAUGCUUUUCCAAGUCAACUAGCAGUCCUUUGGCUUAUUUUACAUGUGGCUGCAAUACAAGAAUGCUGCAAACUUCAAACUGAUUUAAAUGACACUGAGUUAUUUAGGGCAAUGACAUCUUCCAAGUGGACUGAUAAAACCUCCAAGAUGAAACAACAGUGUAAAUGAUCAGGAAACAGUCCAUGUGAGGCCAGUGAACUUUGCAUUCAUGAGAACCCAGUGAACUUUGCAUUCAUGAGAACCCGGUCUUCAUUUGAUAGAGCCAUCCAAGAAAAGAGCCGAGACAUAUAUCACAUUAUCUUUGGAGUGACAGAACCAGUUGGAUGAAAAUCCAGCUACUAGUCCCAAUUGCAGCAGAUCCCUUGAAUCAGUGAGUUCACACUUAUGUGUGAAACAAAGUUUGUGUACAUUGAACCAUCAAAGGUGUCACUAUCUCAGCUAUCCAUGUGGACAAUUUUGGAGUAUUCAGGAUUCUGGAAAAAAAGAUGCUCAACCUGUAGUGUACAGGUAAGAAAUGUUUUCAGUCUGGAUGAUUCUAAAAUGAAUAAAUAAAAACAACAGUAACAGAGACCACAACAAUAGUUUGG
rnacentral:lncRNA from 1 species